rnacentral:rRNA from 1 species
UGCGUGAAGUGUAGUGCUCAGUCUAGCCUGCCCCCUGAUUUUUAAAGGGCCGCGGUAUCUGAACCGUGCUAAGGUAGCAUAAUCAAUAGUCUUUUAAUUGAGGUCUAGUAUGAAUGGUUGGACAGGAGGUAAGCUGUCUUAAUCACAGUUAUUGAAUUUUACUUUUAAGUGAAAAGGCUUAAAUCUUAUGAGGGGACGAUAAGACCCUAUAAAGCUUUACAUUGUAAGCUUUUAAUUUUAGAAAUUUAAGGUGAUUCUGUUUAAUUGGUUUACAUGUUUCGUUGGGGCGACGGAAAUAAAAAUUGUAACUGUUUUCGUUAUAAAAAUAAAUGUUUUUAGAGAAUUUGAUCCUUUUUAGAGAUUAUGAGAUUAAAGUUACUUUAGGGAUAACAGCGUGAUUUUCUUUGAGAGUUCUUAUCGACAGGAGUAGUUGCGACCUCGAUGUUGAAUUAAGGUGCCGCCAAGAUGCAGCAGUUUUGGAAGUGGGUCUGUUCGACCUUUAAAGCCUU